rnacentral:rRNA from 1 species
AAGGGUGCGUAGGCGGUUUAUUAAGUCAGUGGUGAAAGACGGUCGCUCAACGAUUGCAGUGCCAUUGAUACUGGUAGACUUGAGUGAGAUUGAGGUAGCUGGAAUGGAUAGUGUAGCGGUGAAAAUGCAUAGAUAUUAUCCAGAACACCAAUUGCGUAGGCAAGUUACUAAGUCUCAACUGACGCUGAGGCACGAAAGUGUGGGUAUCAAACAGGAUUAGAUACCCCAGU